GCUCACCGAGCCCGUAAUCAGUAGCAGCCGUGGGAGCGGUAGCUGCCAGUCGUGUUCUGAGACAAGAACACGGGCCCUACGGGGCGCAGCAGGCACGAAACCUUUACAAUGCACGCGAGUGCGAUAGGGGGACUCCGAGUGCGUUCUUCCCACAAGGAAGGGCGCUUUUCUGCACUGUAAGGAGGUGCAGGAACAAGGGGUGGGCAAGACUGCUGCCAGCCGCCGCGGUAAUAGCAGCACCCCGAGUGGUAGUCGUUAUUAUUGGGCUUAAAGUGUACGUAGCCGGACCUGUAAGUCUGUUGUGAAAUCCACACGCUCAACGCAGUGGAAGCGCAACGGAUACUACAGGUCUAGGGACCGGAGGACGCCGAGGCUAUUCCAUGGGUAGGAGUGAAAUCCUAAGAUCCAUGGAGGAGCACCAGUGGCGAAAGCGCUCGGCGACUACGGAUCCGACGGUGAGGUACGAAAGCCAGGGGAGCAAAGCGGAUUAGAUACCCGCGUAGUCCUGGCCGUCAACAUUGUCCGCUCGACAUGGCCCAACCCUUGAGGUUUGGCUGUGUCCAAGUGAAAACGUUAAGCGGACCGCCUGGGUAGUACGGUCGCAAGGCUGAAACUUAAAGGAAUUGACGGGGGAGCACCACAACCGGUGGGGGCUGCGGUUUAAUUAGAUCAAACGCAGCGCACCCUACCAGAGCCGACAGCAGAAUGACGGUCAGCUUGAAGAGCUUACCCGACGCGCUGAGAGGAGCUGCAUGGCCGCCGUCAGCUCGUGCCGCGAGGUGUCCGGUUAAGUCCGGUAACGAGCGAGACCCGUACCCUAUGUUGCCACGGAGACACUAGCUGUCUUCGGCACUCGUGGGGGACCGCUGGCGAUAAGCCAGAGGAAGGAGCGGGCCACGGUAGGUCAGUAUGGCCCGAAUGCUCUGGGAUACACGCGGCC
rnacentral:rRNA from 1 species